rnacentral:rRNA from 1 species
UACGAAGGGGCUAGCGUUGCUCGGAAUCACUGGGCGUAAAGGGUGCGUAGGCGGGUCUUUAAGUCAGGGGUGAAAUCCUGGAGCUCAACUCCAGAACUGCCUUUGAUACUGAAGAUCUUGAGUGCGGGAGAGGUGAGUGGAACUGCGAGUGUAGAGGUGAAAUUCGUAGAUAUUCGCAAGAACACCAGUGGCGAAGGCGGACUCACU